GGUGAGAUGGCCGAGUUGGUUAUGGCGCCAGGUUAAGGACUCUUAACAUCAUUUCCUGGUCACGAAAGUGGCGUGGGUUCGAGUCCCACUCUCAUCA
rnacentral:tRNA from 1 species